rnacentral:lncRNA from 1 species
GGCGCUGUUGGUUUGUCUCCUGAGAAGUGGGUGUCUUCACGUUAGUGCCCACCAGUGUCCUGCCUUUGCUUCUUCCCUUCUUGAUUCUUUUUCUCAAUGUCAUUCACCUGAUUCUUGGAUCUUCUGACUCACUGUAUCUGUUUAUGUCUCCCUUUAGGCAUCUUUUCUAUCUUAUACCAGUCUUUUAUCAAUGGACUCUGCAUAUAUCACAAUAAAACUUCCCGAAAGAGAAGAUAUACUUUGGUUCAUACAUCACUAUCAAGAAGACAGUAAUUUUAGGUAUUUUCCUACGCUUUGUAAGACUUUGGAAUCAAGUACCAUAGCUUUUUCAAAAUCCACGACCAAGGGCUCCUGGAUCUCAUGCUGAACCUUAAAAUCCUAUUCGCAGCUCAGCUGCCAGCAGGCUGUGAGUGGAGCAGUGAAAAGUGGAAGAAAUAAGAGGCUUCACCAUGUAAUCAGUAGUUCCCUACUGAAACCAUAUGUCAUGCAUAGAAUCCAGGAGACUUGAGAAGUCUUGAAAAACUGAAAUGCCACUAGUGCACCUAAUAAGAAUUAGUGAUGGGCAAGUGCCUGUCAUAGGGGUUAGCAAAAUAGAAAUAAGCAAAAGAACAACUGUCAUUGGCUAAGAAAAGUGGCAAUUAUACUCUAUGGAUUUAAUCAUUAAGUGACUGCAACUUCUAUCUGUAAAAUGACUCUUGACCCUAUUACCUCCUUAGUGCUUGGUGCUAAAUUGACAAACACCAUUUCUAAUAAUAUAGCUCCAUGUCUUUGUAACAAUAAAAUAAUUAUCAUAAUCAUGAGGGUGAAAUGUUUUCUCUCUGACCAACCAUGAUUUUUGAAAGGUAAAAAUAUCAUGGUGGUUAAGCACAAAAUGUUUGGAACAAGAGAGCCAGGAUUAAAUCCUCACCCUAAUUCUUCCAGAUGGAAAUAUUUUUUUUUCUUUCUCUGAGCCACAAUUUCUCAUCUAUAAAAUGAGAAUGAUGAUAAUUACUUCUAGUUUUGUCGUAAUUAGGAAAACAGUAUGUUCAGCAUUAUAUAAGGUCAGGCACACAGAAACAUUCAAUAAAAAGUGUUAUUAAUAAUUAUAGGAAUAGCAAAACUAUUUUUAAAUGUUACAUUUGAAGAUUUCCUCAAUAGAAUGACAAACUAAUAUAUUUAAG